GACGAACGCUGGCGGCGUGCCUAAUACAUGCAAGUCGAGCGAAUGACGAGAAGCUUGCUUCUCUGAUUUAGCGGCGGACGGGUGAGUAACACGUGGGCAACCUGCCCUACAGAUCGGGAUAACUCAGGGAAACCUGGGCUAAUACCGGAUAAUCCUUCGAAUCACAUGUUUUGAAGUUGAAAGGCGCUUCGGCGUCACUGUAGGAUGGGCCCGCGGUGCAUUAGCUAGUUGGUGGGGUAACGGCCUACCAAGGCAACGAUGCAUAGCCGACCUGAGAGGGUGAUCGGCAACAUUGGGACUGAGACACGGCCCAAAGUCCUAAGGGAGGCAGCAGUAGGGAAUCUUCCACAAUGGACGAAAGUCUGAUGGAGCAACGCCGCGUGAGUGAUGAAGGUUUUCGGAUCGUAAAACUCUGUUGUAAGGGAAGAACAAGUACGUUAGGAAAUGAACGUACCUUGACGGUACCUUAUUAGAAAGCCACGGCUAACUACGUGCCAGCCGCCGCAGUAA
rnacentral:rRNA from 1 species